GUACACGCUGUGACUAGCAUAUCAAUAAGCGGAGGAAAAGAAACUAACUAGGAUUCCCUCAGUAACGGCGAGUGAAGCGGGAAGAGCUCAAAUUUGAAAUCUUCAAGGUUCUACCUUGACGAAUUGUAGUUUAAAGAAGUGUUUUCUGUUGGAGCUUUUGGUAAAAGUUCUUUGGAAUAGGACAUCAUAGAGGGUGAGAAUCCCGUAUUUGACCAUUAUUUCCAGCUUUGUGAUACACUUUCAAAGAGUCGGAUUGUUUGGGAAUGCAGUCCAAAAUGGGUGGUAAAUUUCAUCUAAAGCUAAAUAUUGGCGAGAGACCGAUAGCGAACAAGUACCGUGAGGGAAAGAUGAAAAGAACUUUGAAAAGAGAGUUAAACAGUACGUGAAAUUGUCAAAAGGGAAGCGUUUGACACCAGUGUUGUUUUCUCGAAAAUCAAUUAAAAAAGGCAGGAUUUUGUGUUGUAUUGACUUUAUCAGCUUUCUGCACUCUUUUCUUGUCUUUUUUAAUGCACUUUUCGUUUAACAAGUCAACAUCAAUUUCUUUUGUUGUAAAAGGGUCAUUGGAAGGUGGCUUUCUUUUCGGAGAAAGUGUUUAUAGCCUUUGGCCUCUGCAAUCGGAGAGAUUGAGGUCUGCAGCGUAGAUCCUUCGGGGUUAGAUACAUUUGUGCUAAGUUAUAGCCUUUCAUAGACAACUUGUUGACUAUGAUCAGUCAUGUAGCUUACUCGCUUAUGCUAUUUUACCUACGCUUAGGAUGUUGAAGACUCUACAGAGAUA
rnacentral:rRNA from 1 species